rnacentral:lncRNA from 1 species
GAGCACUCAUCGGAAUCACCUGGAGAAGUUGUUAAAACACUGAUGGCUGGGCUCCACCCUCAUAAGUUCUGAUUUGGUAAGUUUCAGGGUAGGGACAGAGAAUUUGCAUUUCUGCCCAGUUCCCAGGUGAUGCUGAUGGUGCUGGGCUAAGAAUUACCGGAUGUGAGGAGGUAACCAACAGUGAAAGGCCCAUCCUUUUUCGGCAUUUUAAGUGGCUCUAACCUGACUUCCUGCUCACACGUUUCAAGUUAAGUCUUCCAGUUUACAUGGCCCGCCCUUGUGCUCAGAGCUGAGUCAUCCUUCUCACACAGGGAAGUUAUGAUUGUAACCAGCAGAAGAACUCAAAGCAGAAACGGCCAAAAGUGGCUGCCUCUGGAGAACAGUCUCUGGAAGAAUGAAGAUCUUUUUGAGCACAUAGCUGAAAAGGGAGGCCAGCCGUAGGAUAAUGACUCUACUUCUGGUUUCUGGACAGAGUGGUCAUCCUUUAUCCAGGAGUUAGUGAGAACACUGGGUGUGGCAAAAGAGAAUCUGUCUUGGUGCUGAAAUUGAAAGUGAAAGUGGAGAGACUUUCUGCAGGUUAAGUUCUCCAAACCCUGAGAUGAGGAUUUGGGUAAAUUAUUCUUAAGUGUGUUCCCAGGAAAUACUAAAAGGGAAGAAAGGAAGUGGGACUGCAAAUGCCAAGUAGAAGAGGCCAACCAAGGAUGCCAUCUUGAGUAUGUGGAAUUGAGAAAAGAAGGAGUCAGUCAUGUUAAGGCACUAAAAUGGGGCUGGGGGGACGCGAAGAGGAGAGGAGCAAAUUCCCCCCUCACCAUGAACUCUUGAACUCAUUAGAUGCCUGAAACGCAUCUGCAAGCCUUCUCGAGGAAGAUAAGAUUAUUGGGACCAAGACCUCAUUCCUGUCAGGGUCAUCUUCUACAUUCCUAAUUUUAAUGGCUUGUUUCAACUGACUCUCACUCCAUGACUACUUGUGCCUGGAAUUUGUUAAAAGACAUUCCUUUUUUUUUCCCCCUUUGCCUUUGUUGGCCACAACUAUAAAACCUUUCCUCUUUCUUCAACAGCUGGAACACAAUUCAAGUGCUGCUUGAGUCUGUGUUCCCGGGCUGCAGUCCUAACAAACCUUGAGUAAACUUUUUGUUCAAGUCUAAAAAAUGAGAAAAAAAAAAGAAUGGAGAUGUUUCAUAACUUAAAUGUUCUCCACCCAAUGUGGUGAUCUGCAAACCUCAUUUAGAGGCCUCAUCUUUAUUGUGGGGCAGAGACUAUGUCUGACAUGGAAAGGGAGGACCUGUAUGGCCACUGAAUUGUCCUAGACAGCCCCUGCUCCAUCUGAGCCUCUUGAUUUCUUGAAACAUGUGAUUAUUAGUAAAGCUUCAUACUGAAUAAGAGCUCUAAUUUGUGAGUCUAGUUUAACAAUCUGAUCCUUUGUGAUAGUUCAACAUGGGUGGUAGCCACAUCUUUCUAACUUCCAAUUUUCUCCUAAAUUCUUCAUCGAUAUUUCUAACUACUUGCUGAAUGUAUCUAAAUAUUUUAUCAG